AUUGAACGCUGGCGGCAGGCCUAACACAUGCAAGUCGAACGAGUGGCGGAAGGGUGAGUAAUGUCUGGGAAACUGCCUGGGGGAGGGGGAUCACUACUGGAAACGGUAGCUAAUACCGCAUACCAGCGGAUGUGCCCAGAUGGGAUUAGCUAGUAGGUGGGGUAAAGGCUCACCUAGGCGACGAGCCCUAGCUGGUCUGAGAGGAUGACCAGCCACACUGGAACUGAGACACGGUCCAGACUCCUACGGGAGGCAGCAGUGGGGAAUAUUGGACAAUGGGCGAAAGCCUGAUGCAGCCAUGCCGCGUGUAUGAAGAAGGCCUUCGGGUUGUAAAGUACUUUCAGCGGGGAGGCGUUACCCGCAGAAGAAGCACCGGCUAACUCCGUGCCAGCAGCCGCGGUAAUUC
rnacentral:rRNA from 1 species